AACAAAAGCAUCUUUGUUAGAGAAGGCUUCUUCUUUGCAUGAGCAAUUGACUGGGGAGCUUCCAAUUCCGUAUGGAUGCAGCUUAACUCAGACUGUAUUCAAUGGUGUAAAUGUCAUGGCUGGAGUUGGACUGCUUUCUGUUCCUUGUACAGUGAAAGAAGCUGGCUGGGCUAGUUUGUUAGUGUUGGUGAUUUUUGCAGUCAUAUGUUGGUAUACAGCUUCUCUUAUGAAACAUUGCUUCGAGAGCAGGGAAGGAAUCUUAACUUAUCCCGAUAUUGGAGAAGCUGCAUUUGGAAAAUUUGGACGCAUUAUUAUAUCUAUUAUCUUGUACGUGGAGCUAUA
rnacentral:misc_RNA from 1 species